rnacentral:pre_miRNA from 12 species
UUCAGAAAUGUCCAUGAAUUCUAUCCUUCAUUCCACCGGAGUCUGUGUCUUUAACCAAUCAGAUUUCAGUGGUGUGAAGUGUAAGAGACAUGGAGCUCA